rnacentral:rRNA from 1 species
AGAGUUUGAUCCUGGCUCAGGACGAACGCUGGCGGCGUGCCUAAUACAUGCAAGUAGAACGCUGAAGAGAGGAGCUUGCUCUUCUUGGAUGAGUUGCGAACGGGUGAGUAACGCGUAGGUAACCUGCCUUGUAGCGGGGGAUAACUAUUGGAAACGAUAGCUAAUACCGCAUAACAAUGGAUGACACAUGUCAUUUAUUUGAAAGGGGCAAUUGCUCCACUACAAGAUGGACCUGCGUUGUAUUAGCUAGUAGGUGAGGUAACGGCUCACCUAGGCGACGAUACAUAGCCGACCUGAGAGGGUGAUCGGCCACACUGGGACUGAGACACGGCCCAGACUCCUACGGGAGGCAGCAGUAGGGAAUCUUCGGCAAUGGACGGAAGUCUGACCGAGCAACGCCGCGUGAGUGAAGAAGGUUUUCGGAUCGUAAAGCUCUGUUGUAAGAGAAGAACGAGUGUGAGAGUGGAAAGUUCACACUGUGACGGUAUCUUACCAGAAAGGGACGGCUAACUACGUGCCAGCAGCCGCGGUAAUACGUAGGUCCCGAGCGUUGUCCGGAUUUAUUGGGCGUAAAGCGAGCGCAGGCGGUUUGAUAAGUCUGAAGUUAAAGGCUGUGGCUCAACCAUAGUUCGCUUUGGAAACUGUCAAACUUGAGUGCAGAAGGGGAGAGUGGAAUUCCAUGUGUAGCGGUGAAAUGCGUAGAUAUAUGGAGGAACACCGGUGGCGAAAGCGGCUCUCUGGUCUGUAACUGACGCUGAGGCUCGAAAGCGUGGGGAGCAAACAGGAUUAGAUACCCUUGUAGUCCAGAAGUGUUAGUAACCGC